rnacentral:tRNA from 1 species
UUCGCGGCUGGCGAUCGGCUUCUCGUAACGGGCCGCUUCGCGUGCGGCCUGAGGGUCGACCGUCGGCGCGCCGCCGGCGCCGCGAGGC